UAGCUUGCUAAGGCUGAUGGCGACCGGCGCACGGGUGAGUAACACGUAUCCAACCUGCCGUCUACUCUUGGCCAGCCUUCUGAAAGGAAGAUUAAUCCAGGAUGGCAUCAUGAGUUCACAUGUCCGCAUGAUUACAAGGUAUUUUCCGGUAGACGAUGGGGAUGCGUUCCAUUAGAUAGUAGGCGGGGUAACGGCCUACCUAGUCAACGAUGGAUAGGGGUUCUGAGAGGAAGGUCCCCCACAUUGGAACUGAGACACGGUCCAAACUCCUACGGGAGGCAGCAGUGAGGAAUAUUGGUCAAUGGGCGAUGGCCUGAACCAGCCAAGUAGCGUGAAGGAUGACUGCCCUAUGGGUUGUAAACUUCUUUUAUAAAGGAAUAAAGUCGGGUAUGCAUACCCGUUUGCAUGUACUUUAUGAAUAAGGAUCGGCUAACUCCGUGCCAGCAGCCGCGGUAAUACGGAGGAUCCGAGCGUUAUCCGGAUUUAUUGGGUUUAAAGGGAGCGUAGAUGGAUGUUUAAGUCAUUUGUGAAAGUUUGCGGCUCAACCGUAAAAUUGCAGUUGAUACUGGAUGUCUUGAGUGCAGUUGAGGCAGG
rnacentral:rRNA from 1 species